rnacentral:lncRNA from 10 species
AAAAACUUUAAUUUGGUGAAACUAGAAUUUUUAUCACUACUAAACCAUGACUAUUCGUUAAUUUUUGCCAUCUGUGCACACUUUUAUCUCACCUGCGGGUAGGAAGGAAAGAGUAACCCAGUAAGGCAAAUUUGAAGGAACUAUAGAAGAGAAUAAAUGAGUAAAGUUGCUUUCUCCUCACUCCUGACAGACUCCAGCUUGUCCCGUAAAUCACUUCCACUAGCUAGUAGUAUUACUUAAAUUUGCAGGAUAUAGCUCUUACCUCAUUGAAGAAAAUUUUUAUAAAUUAGUAUAAAUGGUGAGUCAUGGUGGCUCACACCUGUGAUCCCACCACUUUGGGAGGCCAAGGUGGGAGGAUGGCUUGAGCCCAGGAUUUCAAGACCAACUUGGGCAACAUAAUGAAACCUCAUCUCUACAAAAAAAUACAAAGAUUAGCCAGGCAUUGUGGCAAAUGUCUGUGGUCCCAAAGGCUAAGCUGGAAGGAUCCCUUGAGCCAGAAAGUUGGAGGUUUCAGUGAGCAGUGAUUGCACCACUGCACUCCAGCCUGGAUGACAGAGUGAGACCCUGUCUCAAAAAUAAAUAAAUAAAUUUAAAUUUUAAAAAAUCUAGUAUGAAGCAGAUUUUAUUUCCUCACGCAUAGCCUUUUCCUAUUUUAUAAUCAUAUCACUUCUUUACUAUCACAUUAUCAAAAUAAUUUUUCUGAAACAAAGGAAACUUCCAAAAAUUAAUUCAAACCUCUAUCUCUAAUGAAAUAUUCAUUUUUUAUUGAGAUUUGAUGUCUACAAAUGGCUUCUGUUCUCACUCUGAGCUCGAUUCUAUUCAUCAAUAACUCAGAUGAUACAACCCUUCUACAGUUAUAUUCCAGUACAUAAGACUACAACUUGCUAUAAAGUAGAUAAUAGUAUUUGACAUAUAUAUAUUUCACACACAAGCAUGCACACACAUGUGCACAGAAGACAGUGACCCACGUUCACAUUAACUUUUUCAGGUCUGACCUGCUGUUGUGUUCCAAGUCAUUUACGUUGAGAUAAGGCCGUCUUGGUCUCUCUAUCCUUCGCUAAUUCAACCAAUCUGUAAUACAGUACUUCCCAGUGUGUUAUCUUGAUUUUAUUAUCCAUUCUCUCAGAGAAAUACAGAUGCGGAAGAUCUCCUUUCUACUUACUCUCUUGGUUAUACAGAUGUGAAAGUAGUAAGUGUAGCUAACUCUCCCUGCCACCCCCGCCAAAAAAAAAAAAAAAAAAAAUUCUAAUUUGUGCAGAGGUAUUGAGACAUGAUUCUGACCAACAGGGAUGGAACAGUAAAGCAUCAUUAUUUUUCCCCUUUUGGGAUUCCAGCACCUAUUUGCCAAUGAGAACAAGAGCCAAUCAGGGCAACUCAGCAACUUGGAAAGAAAUUGUAUGUUGUUUCUUAGGACCCUAUUACUUUUCUACUACCCGAAACAGAAAAGCAAUGUGCUACAAUUGACUUUAAUUUUACUUUUUUUGCAUUGGUUCUUCAGACUUUACACAAUAUCUGAUACCUGAAUGAGCCUAAGGUAAGGGACAAGGGUGACUGCUUCAGCAUUUCAAUAUGUUAAAUUUGCCAUAUUGUUAUGUUACUGGAGAAUAAAAGUAGAGGCAUCCUUAGUUUCUUUAACCUUGCUGCCAGGCUUUGACUACAUUGUGAACGAAGUGAAAUUUGAUGCAAGCCAUUCUGAUGGAAGCCAUAAUCUGUAAAAGAAUUUUUGGUAUCAUGUAAGAACCAUGAUAUACAUCAAAAUUCUGAUGCCCAGUCAUUCCACAGAAACAUUUGCGAACAUUGAGCAACACUGUGCUUAUUCCACUCCCCACCCCACCCACCCCCAGUGCAGGGAGAAUACAUUUUCCUGAAUUUACAGAGAAAUACUUUUGGUAACUCUCUCUAUCUAUCUACUUUCCACCAUCUAGCUCAAAGCAGAACAUAAAUGAUAUUAACAAAAAAUUUCUCAAAAGCUUGAACUCUCAGUUGUCUUGAGUUUUGAAGAGAAACAUGACUCUGGAAGCAAGCAGGUGCUCUGAAGAUGUCAAGUAUGUAGUAGAAGUGUUUUUUCCAAAAAUCUUUGUUUUCUUUUGAGUUUUGCAAGGUAAAGUAUAAAACAUGUCUAGGAAGGAUGGAUUUCAAAAUGAACAUUAAAUUUGUAAAAAAUGAAAAUAAGGAAAUGUAUUUUGGAGUAGAAUUUGGAAGAUUUCUUCCUCACCUAAAAAAUUUCAAUCAAGAAAUCUCCACACUAUUCUCCAUCGUGGUUGCAGUAAUUUACAUUCCCACCAACAGUGUCAAAGUGUUCUCUUUUCACCACAUUCACACCAACAUUUAUUAUUUUUAGGUUUUUGGUUAUGGCCACUCUUGCAGGUAUGAGGUGGUAUCACAUUGUGGUUUUAAUUUGCAUUUUCCUGAUAAUUAGUGAUGUUGAGCAUUUUUCCAUAUGCUUCUUGGCCAUUUGUAUAUCUUCUUUUGAGAAUUGUCUAGUCCUGUCUUUAGCCCACUUUUUGACAGGAUUGUUUGGUUUUCUUUCUUGCUGAUCUGUUUGAGUUCUUUGUAGAUUCUGAAUAUUAGUCCUUUGUCGGAUGAACAGAUUGUAGAUUUUCUCCCAUUCUGAGGGUUGUCUGCUAACUCUGCUGAAUAUUUCGUUUGCUGUGCAGAAGCUUUUUAAGUCCUAUCUGUUUAUCUUUGUUUUCGUUGCAUUUGCUUUUGGGUUCUUGGUCAUGAAGUCGGCCUAAGUCAAUGUCUAGAAGGGUUUUUCCAAUGUUAUCUUCUAUAAUCUUUAUGGUUUCAGGUCUUAGAUUUAAGGCUUUAAUCUAUCUUGAGUUGAUUUUUGUAUAAAAUCAGAGAUGGGGAUCCAGUUUUAUUCUUCUACAUGGGGCUUGCCAAAUAUCCCAGCACCAAUUGUUGAAUAGAGUAUCCUUCCCCCACUUAAUGUUUUUGUUUGCUUUGUCAAAGAUGAGUUGGUUGUAAAUAUUUGACCUUAUUUCUGGGUUCUAUAUUCUGCUCCAUUGGUCUAUGUGCCUAUUUUAUACCAAUAUCAUACUGUUUUGGUGACUAUGGCCUUACAGUGUAGUUUGAAGUCAGGUAAUGUGAUGCCUCUAGAUUUCUUCUUUUUGUUUAGUUUUUCUUUGGUUAUGCAGGCUGUUUUUUGGUUCCAUAUGAAUUUUAGGAUUGCUUUUUCUAGUUCUGUGAAGAAGGUUGGUGGUAUUUUGAUGGGAAUUGCAUUGAAUUUGUAGAUUGCUUUUGGCAGUAUGGAUUUUUUCAUAAAAUUAUUUUACCCAUCAAUAACCAUGGGAUAUGUUUUCAUUUGUUUAUGUUGUCUAUGAUUUCUUUCAGCAGUGUUUUGUAGUUUUCCUUGCAGAGGUCUUUCACCUCCUUGGUUAGGUAUGUUCCUAAGUAUUUGAUUUUUUUUUUAUUUUUUGCAGUUAUUGUGAAAGGGUUUGAGUUCUUGAUUUGAUCCUCAGCUUGGUCACUGUUGGCCGUUUGAUCCAGCAAUCCCACUACUAGGUAUCUACCCAGAAGAAAAGAAGUCAUUAUAUGAAAAAAUACUUGCACACACAUGCUUAUAUCAGCACAAUUUGCAAUUACAAAAAUAUGGAACCAGCUCAAAUGCUCAUCAGUCAAUAAGUGGAUAAAGAAAAUUAUUUAUACAAUGGAAUACUAUUCAGCCAUUAAAAGGAACAAAAUAAUAGCAUUUGCAGCAACCUGGAUGGAAUUGGAGACUAUUCUUCUAAGUGAAGUAUCUCAGAAAUAGAAAACCAAACAUUGCAUGUUCUCACUGAUAUAUGGGAGCUAAGCUAGGAGGAAGCAAAGGAGUAAGAAUGGACACAUUGGACCUUGUGAACUCAGGGGAAAGGGUGAGGAGUGGCAAGGGAUAAAAGACUACACAUUGGGUGCAGAGGUAUAAAAGGAAAAAUUACUCCCUUUGAAUUGCUUCAAU